GAUCAUACCAGCAUUAAUGCACCGGAUCCCAUCAGAACUCUGCAGUUAAGCGUGUUUGGGCGAGAGUAGCACUAGGAUGGGUGACCUCCUGGGAAGUCCUCGUGUU
rfam:Beta vulgaris subsp. vulgaris chromosome 4, whole genome shotgun sequence.